AGAAGAGAGAUGCUAUUAAUAAUACAGACACAUACAGAGGGAAGAAAAGUGCACACUUGAUUCUCAUGCUGCUACCAGGAGUUCUGAAGCUGGCGCUGGCUGCCUCUUCCCACACGUGACUCCAACACAGUGGGUAGCUUGACAGCCCAGAGAGACUGGCUCAGGGCCAGGGGAAAAAAGCAGAAAACACAAUGUCUGUGCAUAUCCUCUCUCUUAAAAUAACACUCCCCAACACCGUCUGAGACGAAUUAAAAUAAGAUCAGGAGCGAUCUCGGAAAGAAGUGUGGGGUGGAGGGAAAGAGAGAAAGGCAGUAUGUGUGCACAGGAAAGAUACAUAACUGGGUUCUUGCAAAUGCGGUUGACUCCAGGGCUCACCACUCUGUAAAGGAGGUACUCUCUUUAGAGAAGUUAGGGGUGUGUGUGGGUGUUUGUGCGUAUUUUUAAAAGUAUAGGGAGAGAGGUAAAGAGUCCAACUCUAUGUUAGGCAUCGGGGAGAAGAGAAACCAUGUCAUUGGGUGUGCUUGAAUGCCCAACACAUGUCUGUCCUUUAGGGGAGACUUGGCAAGGGAAGAGGGCUCUUUGCAAGCAGACUUGCAUGAUGGAGAGCGUUAGGAAUUUCCUGCAGCUGGGGAACACACCAAAUGCCAGAAUGCGAGAAAGGUUUGGGGUGGGGGAGAGAGAGACUGCUGGUGGUGGAAGCAAACUUUAAAUAAUAAUUAAGGAAAACAACAAGAAAUUUCUCUAGCAUCGCUGCAUCCAUUAGGAGCUCUUGGAAGAAUGAGAGGAGAGGGAGUGGGUUGUGGGUUUUUCAGGAGAAGUAGUCAUGGAGCAUGGAUGAGCCUAAGUUCACUCACAACAUUUGCUUAAAUGGUUUAAAGAACAAACAACACCCCCCCCCCAUUAUUGCAAGCUGUGAGGGUGGUUCUUGCAUUCCUUUCCCUUCCACCUCCCCAUCCAGGUCUACAGCAGAGCAUGUUGGAUUCCAGCCUCCCUUGUCUAGUUCUCUUAAGGUGAUUCUGACGCAAAGCACCAUAUUUCCAUUUCGUAGGGUUCUGGUUUAUUUGGGAGGCUUUUUGUUUGUUUGUUUGUUUGUUUGUUUGUUUUUACAUGUGGCGUGACUUCCUGGCUUUCAGGCAAACAGGCAUAUACUUCUUUCUUCUUUGGCGAUCACUCGUAGGGGGAGGAUGAAAUGCCACCCAUUUGUCCACAGCCACCCUGCUCCAGUUCAUAAAAUGUGCUUUGGAUGGGUUCCACUCUGUUGCACCAGACUUCCCUUGCUGCCUGCCUCCUCUGCCCCUCUGCACAACCUUGCCAUUGCUGUUGUAAAGAAACUGUCUCUGCAGCAUAAUGAUGCUGAAGGCUGGGUGAGCCUUCUGACUGUUGCAUCUCAUUCCAGUGAGGUGCAGGGAUAUGAUCCCAGAUGGCACCAUCUGCCAGGCAUGAUCCUAGGUUUCCUCCCCUUCUAGGUACUCCCUCAAUGCAGAGUUUCUACCCAGGGAGUAAAAUAGUGACGUCAGAGUGAAUAAUUCCUGCCGGGAACCAUCUGCCAUCAUUUUGGGGCAGGAUAGAUGGCUUCAUCCUCAUCUAGAACUCAGCUGAAAGUUUUUCAAGAAGAUUUUUUUUGCCUUUGAACUACAGGUGGAACAGGGGAAAGAGGGAGGAAUCCCCCCCAAAACCGGAGGCUAAUUUUUUUUGGGGGGGGGUUCCUCAAAAAAUGCUGAGUCUCAUCUCUUUGCUUCAGCUGCACAAAUUAGUUCCUUUUUGUUCCCUUCAUCUUUCUUAAACAUCCAUGUAUCUUAUGCAGAAUUGGAAUUCUUCAUAAUGUCUGUCUGGUCUGCCACUAGGAAAGAGCAGGCUGGCUGCCAGAUACAAGGCCUUUUCCGUGGUGGCCCCAUACCUGAGGAAAAUCCUCCCUCAAAUACUACGUCAACACACUUCACAUGUUUUUGAAUGGACCCCAGAGGCUCUAAUGUGUUUUCAUUUCACUUUCCAUGUAAUGUUUUUAUGCUGGCUGCUUGCUUUUAGCUGCUCCCCAGUCUUUAACUUUAUGUACUUAUUUGUGGUGGUGUGUUUAACUAGUUGACUCUAAGGUGCCUUGAGGUGCUUUGAAAGAUUUUAAUAACAAUCAAUUACUAGCCUCUCUCUCUCUCUCUGUGUGUGUGUGUGUAUAUUAAAAAUACACAUGCCGAGAACAAUUAUAUACCCCUUUCUGUCAAGGCACUCAAGGUAUUCUAAUAUAUAAAUUCUUGCAAGAAGAAAAAAGGAGAACUGUUUUGAAGGUUGGACAGUGACAUGGGGAGAAAUGCAGGUAUGCUAAAAUUCCAGGUCCCUCCCAGAAUCCCUGGAGAGCUGCUGUCAGUCAAUGUAGACCAGGGAUUGGGAACCUGUGGCUUUGCAGAUGCUGUGGGACUGCAACUCCCAUCAUAUCUGACCAUUGGCUAUGGUGACUGGAACUGAUGGAAGCUGACAUCCAACAGCAUCUGGAGGACCAAUCUGGAAACAGAAGCUUUCAAAUAGAGGAGUGUUUUAUGCAAAGGUACAACACAUGGCUAUCAUGGUCCUCAGUCAUGCUGUUGCUAUUAUAUUAGAAGCUUUGUAAUUGCAUUUUUAUAUCAGAAAUAGCCAGGGUGACAUACACAAAAAUCAAAAGUGAAAUGCAACCUUACCAAAACAGUUGAAAAAUUGCUUUCACCCAUGCUGUUGCCUUAUGCCAACAUCAUGCUCCACCCCCUUUCCUGCUCUCCAUGCCAUUGCUAGGCUUCCUGCUAGAAAAUUCUAAAAUCCUGCCUGCCACCACCCACAACCAAUAAAAAAUAAAAUAAAAUAAAAUAAAAUGGAUGGGUAAAGCUCAGAGAACUAAAUAAGAUUUUCAGUUUUAAGGGUGGAAACUUCCAUUUACUUCAUAGCUUCUUGCCCUUCCCCAUAAUUAAGUUAAGCAAAAGUCUCUGCUUGCUUUGCAUAACUGGGAUUUGUUUGGCACAAAAUUUGGGUUACUUUUUAUCACUUACUCUUUUUUAUUUUACAUUUUAAUUAAAAAAGAGCAAAGUAUGCACAACUCUAUAUCAUACAUAAAGUUGUAAGCUUCCCAGGUUAGGGAACUCUCUGUGACUCUGUUUAACUCUACCAUGCAAUGAACUUUAUACAGUAGUAAUGAUACUAAUAAUAAUUGACCGUUUCAGACGAUGUCAGUUUCACAGUGCGGUGUUCCUAAGGGCACAGCAAGAUAGCCAUUCUCCCCCAAUCUUCUGGCUGUGCAUUAGCUUGGAAAUGUGGAAAUCCCAACAAAGCGCUGCCCUCCCUCUGGUUCUUUGUUCACCCCUAAUUUUUGGAUGCAUGUAGUCAGUCUGGGGUUAAGGUGCAUGUGUGCGGACUGUGGGGUGUGCAUUGACAGCUAUCCCAGUCCAAGUCUGUUGCAUCGGUACACCCUAAAAGGGAAAGAAAACAUCACUGUGGGCAAAGAAUAGCCUGGAUCGUGAAAAGGAAAUGGAUUCUUUAUUGAGGCUUUGCUGGUGUGACAGAUGAAGACCAUGCAGCUGAAAUAGAAGUGGAACAAAGAGGAUACCCAGAGGCUGACUCUUGCCCCUGCCAAUACGAGAAGCUGCAGGUAAUAGAUAAGAGGGGACAGAAGGUGAGGCACUCUCGACUACAGAAUAUUGAUAAGAUUGGCUUAGGUUGUGACUAUUAAGCCCUGUAGUUGUGUUUACUCUUUUCCUUUCCUGUCAUAAUGAGUUCGUGGGCCCCAAUCAUCUUCUUGCGCUAUGCUAAAGAAGUCUGUCUCCUGGAUCUUCGCUUGUAUGACAGGAAUCCUUCUCCCUCUCACCCUUGCUUGCUGAUCCAUAAGAUAUCCCUUUUGAUCUUAGCAGUGGGAGGUGCCGCAGCCUCUGUGUGAAGGGUUUCAUUCCCCCCCCCCCUGUUUUUAAUUGCUGACCUUCAGCUGCUCCAAGUUUCGAUGGUGGGGAAAGACAGAUGGAAGAUAAGGGUGGGGUGAAGGAGGAAGUCUGGAAGAGGGAAAGGUCUCAUUUUUUUUUGCAAAGUGGAGGAAAUUUGGGGUGGUCAGUAGAGCUCACGUGGUUAGCUAUGUUCAAAAUUAGGGCCCUUCCAGCCACCCUUUUCAUUGUGCAUUCAUUAUUUGUGCUCAUGAUGGUAUCAGGGAAGUUACAUGCUAUUCCUCUUUCAGUACUUUUUGUACCUGCAAAGGUUUGGGGGGCGCAAAACUGAUCAUUUCUGAUCGGUUCAUGUUCCAUAGCGUCCUUUUGAAAUCCUGUAACUUCAUACCACAAAUGUUACACAGGGCUUUUGUUGUUGUUGUUCUGACUUAGAUGAAGUACAGGUGGAACUCAGAAAAUUAGAAUAUCGUCGUAAAGUGCAUUUAUUUCAGUAAUGCAACUUUUUAUUUUUUUAUUUUUCUUUUAAUUUUUACAAAUGCUUUCUUUUGGAAAUUCCACAGUAAUAAAACAAAUAGUUAUAAUAAUACAAAAAUAAACAUCGCUAUUGCAUUUCAUUAAUUACAUUCCAUUCAUAAUUGACCCGCCUUACAACAAAUAAUUACAAUUACAACAAAUAAAGGCUUGACAUAUCUUGCUUUGCAUGUCAUGCAUCUCUCUCACAUAUUGGUUUCAGCUUUUAAGUUGCAUUAGUGAAAUAAAUGCACUUUUUGACGAUAUUCUAAUUUUCUGAGUUUCACCUGUACAGUCCACAAGUGCCCCUCAGUAAUGCUGUAACGUUGGGUUGUUACAGGGUUACCAUAUUUCAAAAAGUAAAAACCAGGACACCCCAAAGUUGUGCUUUUUUUUUCUUUUACAAAAACGCCAAAAGAUCCAGGACAAAGCAGCACAUUUCAUAAUUCCCCCCUGGAUGUCAUUUCUGCCUUUGAAAUCCCAGUUGGCCAAUAGUAAUCUACCACCAGUGCACUAUUUUUGUGUCAAUGGGUUGUUGCAGAAUGCAGCUGCAAAACAAACCAACAAACACAAAAACCAGUCUGGAGGAGCCCUUAAUUUCCUGCCUUCACCAGGCACACAAGGCAUUUUUUCUGAACCUACACACCCACCAUAUGAGAUUAUGAAGCUAUUUUAUACCGAGUCAAUUCAGCAAGCCCCAGCAUUUGCUAUUAUUCCAAUUUGCUCCUGCUAUCCGGGGAUUGAAGUAGGUGCCUUCUGCCUGCCAGCUGUGUGCUUUGCUACUGAGCUGCAAUACCUCUCAAUUCCUCUCCUGCAACAUAAGAAUGGCCUGCUGAAUCAGGCCAGCAGCCCAUCUAACCCAGCAUCCUGUUCUCACAGUGGCCAACUAGAUGCCUAUGGGAAGCCCCAAAGCAGAACUUGAGUGCAAGCAACAGCACUCUGUCCACUUGUGAUCCCUGGCAACUGGCAUUCAGAGAUCCAUGCUUGUGCUUAGAUCUCAUCUCUAGGCUCUUCUGAGAUUUGUGAGUCCUGGUUUUCAGUCUCUCUGUGUUGAGCAAAUGUGUUCAGCCAAGCUGAGUUCUGGUUUUGUUGCUAGCUGCUGGGGAAAAGAUUGGGUGCUGAACUGUUACCUGCAAAAAAACAAAACAAGAUUGUCAGGGCCCAAACUAUUACAGUAGAUUUGCUCACAGCUAUACAUUAACACACCAUCCCAUCUAACCCAACUCUUAUCCUGAAGAGAGAAGAUCAUGUAGCAUAUUGGCUAAGAAAAUUAGCAGAAUACUUCCUGGUUUAAAUAUAACAUUAGCUAUAAACUCUUUUGAUGACCUUAAAUAUCGUCAUCUGCAAUACUUUGGUUAGUACUGGCUAACCUUCCAGGGUGGUUGUAAGGGGUAAUGUGAUCUCUCUUACUUGGACAGUGAUAACUAAGAGCAUAAGAGCCCUGCAGGAUCACACCAAAUAUAAGUCUUGUCCAGCACCCUGCAGCCAACCAGAUGCUUCCAGAAUACCAAUAAGCGGAGCAUGAAGGCAAUAACCGCCUCUUGCUGUUGUUCCCCUAUAACUGAUACCCAGUAGUAUGCUGCUUUUUUGCACUGUUUUUUUCUGUUUAGCUAACAUGACUAAUACCCAUGAUAGACUACCACCUUCUCCGUGGAUUUUUCUAAUUCUGUUUUAAAGCAGACUAAGUCAGCAGCCAUCACCACAUCUUGUAGCAACAAAUUCUUUAAAUUAAUCAGACUGUGUGCAGCAGCACACUAUACAAUGCUAAGCUACUUCCGGGACUGAACUUCCAUAGCCUUGCAUUCCCUGUGUAUGGGGUGUGGGUGAGUCUUUUUGCCCGGCAUCUGUCCGAAUGUCACCUUACUCUGAUAACAUCUGCUUCCCCCUUGUCGCCAUAUCAACCGUUCUGCUCGAACCACCUGCACAGUGGGUGGGGAUGUAAGAAGGAUGAUGAUCUAGAGGUUUCCGCUCCAGAGCCAUUAUAUUGAGAAGCUCGAGCUGUUUGCAGCCAUCUUCAGCUCUUCCAUCCAAAGCCAACUUCUAAAAAACAGUUGGGCCUGUUCCUUAACUAGCCUUAAGCAUUCUUAUUACUUUAUUAUUUAUUAUCAAAUCUAUGUCCCAUCCUUCCUCGCAAAGGAGACCAUGGCAGCAAACAUAAAAGUGAUAAAACAAUAUAACUAAAAGUAAAAUGAAAACGUAUCUAAACACUUAAAAACAUUACGAGCCUUUGAAUCACAUUCUCACAACUAAUAAUUUCAAGGUUGCCAGGAUCAGUAUCUUUCAGUUAUCAAAUGCUUGGGUAAAUAGGAUUUUUUUAAAAAAAUACCUCCUGAAAAUAAUAAGGAAGACAGAUGCACUUCACCAGGGGGAACAUUCUACAAAUGGGGAACUGCUAUCAACAAGCCCCUGACACAGGUUAAUGGUGACCAGGCAGUACCCAGGAGUAGAAGCACCAUGCUGAUCAUAGGGCCCCAGAUGGUUGAUACCAUGACAAAGUUCUACCCCAUACUAGGAUUGCCAGAUACGAAAGAUGACUGGACUCCUGUACCUUUAACAGUUGUGCAGAAGAGAAAAUGUUGGUUGCUGCUUUUCUUAUCUGUGCGUGACAAGCUUGUUUUCAUAAGUUGUGGAUAGAUCCCUUUUCUUUCCCCUUUUCUUCACCUUCUGCUACUGUAUCCACCUCUCCCUGAGGUUGGGGGGGGGGCUUUGUAGUAGUGGAUCUUGCAAUGAUAAGGUAUUGGGCCAGUUCAGAUAUAACAGACCCCUAGCACAUGGCAAAAGAGAACUCUCAUUCUUUGGGAUACAGUGGUACCUCGGUUUAUGAACACAAUUGGUUCUGGAAGUCUGUUCAUAAACUGAAGCGUUCAUUAACUCAAGCGAACUUUGCCAUUGAAAGUAAUGGAAAGUGGAUUAAUCUGUUCCAGACGGUUCGUGGAGUACUUAAACUGAAGCGUUCAUAAACUGAAGCGAACUUUCCCAUUGAAAGUAAUGGAAAGUGGAUUAAUCCGUUCCAGACGGGUCCGCGGAGUACUCAACCUGAAGCGUACUUAACCCAAAGCAUGGGUGUAAUUGGUUCCAGAAGUCUGUUCAUAAACUGAAGCGUUCAUAAACUGAAGCGAACUUUCCCAUUGAAAGUAAUGGAAAGUGAAUUAAUCCGUUCCAGAUGGGUCUGCGGCGUUCGUAAACCAAAAAAUCGUAAACCGAGGUGUUCAUAAACCAAGGUUCCACUGUAUCAAGCUUUGCGCAAGAGGCAGAGCUUUGACUAUCCACCCCACCAGCUUACUGAAAUGAGUUGCUUCCACAUAAAGCUAGAUAAAAUCCCACAGGUGAAUUUCCUAUGUGAUCAGCAUGACUUGGCACCCCCUAGGAGUGGGGGAGCUAAAGUUUGGAUAGACUUUAGGGCAGGUGCAACUGCAAUCCCCACACUUGAAAGCACUUCUGGGCUAUAAAGAGCACGAACCCAGUAUGUAGAUCAUGCUCUCAGGUUAUUUCACUAUGUGUACACAAUUGGAGUGAUGGAGUUUUGUUGCAUUUACUACAUGGAAAUACUUUAAUGGAAUUGAAUAGAUGAAGAUUCACUGAUAUUAACAAAGGGAAGGGUGAUUUCUAAUAAUUAAGAGGAGAUCUCAGGCUGAAUGUGCGCACAUGCAAGGCAGGUUUGCUUAAUUUGAGGAGAGCUGGAUGCUAGAAAAUGAGCCAAGUACUGUGUGUGUUCUCUUCAUUCCCUUCUCUUUUUAUCAUGUUAUCUCCCCCAAGCCCCAUUUUGAUUACUUUAAUUCAGCCUAUCCUAGCCACGCCCCCUCCCUUGGACUCACAUUAAUCUGCUACUCCUCUGUACAUUUCUUCCCUUAUUAUCCUUUCCCUUCUGAGAUCGGACACAUAAUAAUGUAAGCUCUCUGAGGAAGAGACGAUCAUGUCUUGUGUUUCUGUAUACCACUUACCGGUAGUACUGUACAGUGUUGGAAUUAAACAAAAUACAGAGGUAAUAGGACUGUGUGGUACGUUUCUUCUUAGUUUUACUUUCCAUUAAAUGUCAACACAAUUAAUAUUUCUGAAAACAAAGCAUCUUGCUUAAUUGCAAAGCUACAAUGAGUGGUGGAUCACAAGCACUGCAUGCAAAAGGUCCCAGGUCCAAUCUCCCGCAUUUUCAGAUAAGGCUAGAAAGACUCUGGAAACCCUGAAAAGCUGCUGCCAGCCAGUGUUGACAAUACUCAGCCAGAUGGACCAACAAAAUAAGGCAGCUACCUCCGCAACCUCAGAGUCGUCUGUGAUUGGACCUAAUGGUCAGGGGUACCUUUACCCUUUACCUAUGUUCUCGUGACUGUUACAAUAGGAAUAGUGGUGAGGUGCAGAUUUAACUUCAUAUAAAAGCAAAGUUUAGUGGACUGAGUAGGCAUAUCUCUACACAACGGAUUAGUUUGUACCUGGUACUAGCAGAUUUAUGCAUGCCCAGGCCCUGAAACUACAGUUACAAUUCCCAGGACAGGGUGGGGGAUGCUGUGACAGUUAAAAAGAUGUGAAGCAUACAGCUAUGGUUUUCCCAGUAGUGAUGUAUGGAAGUGAGAGCUGGACCAUAAAGAAGGCUGAUCGCCAAAGAAUUGAUGCUUUUGAAUUAUGGUGCUGGAGAAGAUUCUUGAGAGUCCCAUGGACUGCAAGAAGAUCAAACCUAUCCAUUCUGAAGGAAAUCAGUCCUGAGUGCUCACUGGAAGGACAGUUCGUGAAGCUGAGGCUCCGAUACUUUGGCCACCUCAUGUGAAGAGAAGACUCCCUGGAAAAGACCCUGAUGUUGGGAAAGAUGGAGGGCACAAGGAGAAGGGGACGACAGAGGACGAGAUGGUUGGACGGUGUUCUCGAAGCCACCAACAUGAGUCUGACCAAACUGCGGGAGGCAGUGGAAGACGGGAGUGCCUGGUGUACGUUGGUCCAUGGGGUCACGAAGAGUCAAACGCGACUGAACGACUAGACAACAACAACAAUGUUAACUCUACAUAUUAAACAAAAUAAUACAAAAAUGUUUUCCUUUCUGUGCACUUGGAAUCUGUUCCAUUAGUCCUACUAGGUAUAUAUUUGUAGUGCAGAUAUUUCCUAUUGGAUUAGGAUCAGAGUUACUCCUCUCAGACAUAAAGCAAAUCACUGUCUCCUAGCCUAGCCUACUGCAAGGAGUGACUGAAAGCGGUAAGAUGUGUGAAAAGGAGGAAAAUGUGACGAUCAAAUUAGUGAGGUAGAUGCACCAAUCCUAUAUUUUGCAAACAUGGGUAUGCAUGCCAUUCUGCUUUGUUUCCAACUGGGUUUUAACAGCCCUACCAAUCCUAUCCCAUAGGAUCAGAUAAAAUGCCUGGCAGGUAUUCUGUGGAGUGGAGGAAAGCAAUCCAUCCAUGAGAGCUGGAGAAGAGAGAGGAGGAGAAUCGGGCUGGAUUGUUGGGAGUGAUGGAACAUAGGACUCAAGUGUUUUGUUUUGUUUUUUGUUUAUACAAAAUGUCAGUUGUUUCAUUGCACGGGUUGGGCUAGAUGACCCUCGUGGUCCCUUGCAGUUCUAUUCUUCUAUGAUUCACAGUACUGUAUUUGUAGGCUGACCUAUAAUAAAGUUCUCUGGGCAGCUCAUAAUCUAAAAACCCAAUUGUAAAUGAAAACAAAAGCAACAACAGGAGUCUAAAAACAGCUUAAAGCUGAAAAGGACUAAAAGGCCUAGUGUGAAAAAUAGUUUUCACUUGUUGCUGAAAUGUCACCAAAGUAGGUGUUACGGUAGGCAGGACUCUCUGAAGAAGGCAUUCUAUAGCUGGGGCACCACUGCUGAAAGGGCCUUCUCUCCCAUAGCUACCAACUGCACCUUACUUAGCAGGAGUUUUUGGAGAAAGAGCUUCCAAAGAAGGAUUGGUAUGUGUGUAUCCCUUCAGCUGCCUUGUCCCAAGCU